UCCUUCCUUCCUCUUAUUCUCUUCUUCCUCUUUCUCUUUUCCUCUUUCUUUCUUUCUUCCCUUAAUUUUUUUUCUCUUUCUGAUAACUGUCUCUUUCAUUCUUAUCUCUUCCUACUUCUUCUUAACUAUUACUUUCCUUCUUUGUUUCUAUACCACACAAAUAUAUAUAACAUAUAAAUAAUAUAUAUUAUAAUAUUAGGUAAUAUUACAAAAUAUCUCAAUUGAUAUUUUGUCUUCUAGUACCAAUUGACCAAUU
rnacentral:lncRNA from 1 species